CUAGGAUUCCCAAAGUAACGGCGAGUGAACUGGGAAAUGCCCAGCGCUGAAUCUUUCGAUGUUAUAUCGUAAAGAAAUGUAGCGUAUAAGUAUAAUUGUCGGUUUGUUUAACAUGUCCAAAGUUCCUUUGAUAGGGGCCAUAUUCCAGAGAGGGUGCGAGACCUGUGCGGACAGUUGAACAUAUACCGUAUGAUUAUACUUUGGAGUCGGGUUGCUUGAAAGUGCAGCCUUAAGUGGGUGAUAAACUUCAUCUAAGGCUAAAUAUGAACGCGAAUUCGAUAGCAAACAAGUACUGUGAAGGAAAG
rnacentral:rRNA from 1 species